rnacentral:rRNA from 1 species
CCUACGGGAGGCUGCAGUGGGGAAUAUUGCACAAUGGGGGGAACCCUGAUGCAGCGACGCCGCGUGGGUGAAGGAGUAUUUCGGUAUGUAAAGCCCUAUCAGUAGGGAAGAACAAUGACGGUACCUGACUAAGAAGCACCGGCUAAAUACGUGCCAGCAGCCGCGGUAAUAAGUAUGGUGCAAGCGUCAUCCGGAUUUACUGGGUGUAAAGGGAGCGCAGGCGGCGCGUUAAGCCUGGUGUGAAAGCCCGCGGCUCAACCGCGGAACUGCAUUUGAAACUGUUUUUCUUGAGUACCGGAGAGGUCAUCGGAAUGCCUUGUGUAGCGGUGAAAUGCGUAGAUAGAAGGAAGAACACCAGUGGCGAAGGCGGAUGACUGGACGGCAACUGACGGUGAGGCGCGAAAGCGUGGGGAGCAAACAGGAUUAGAUACCCGAGUAGUC